CCGAAAAGAUCCUUUCAUCAUCACCUGAGCAAGUUAGGUUUUGUCAACACCACCUAACUUGAGGGGGCGUAUCAGCGUAACAAACUCUUCCGCAAGAGUUGGGCAUUCUUUAAUUUCUGUUUAGUCAAAGUUGUUUCUACUUUCAUGUAGUUUGAGUUUCAAUAGGUCUCUUAUUUCUCGGCAGAUUAGUUUUGAUAUUCUCUCCCAUACGUUGUAUA
rnacentral:lncRNA from 1 species